AAAAGGAUAGAGAGAAAGAGAAAGAUAAAGAUAAAGAGUUUGACCGGGAACAUGAAGGAGAGCGUGGACGAGUAAGAGAGAAAGAAAGACAUGAGAGGGAGAAGGAACGUGAAAAGGAAAGGGAGAAGGAUCGUGAAAAGGAAAGGGAGAAGGAACAUGAAAAGGAAAGGGAGAAGGAACAUGCAAAGGAAAGGGAGAAGGAAUGCGAAAAGGAAAGGGAGAAGGUUGAAAGGGAUAAGGAGCGAGAAAAGCAACCGGAGGAACUUGCUGAUAGGGAUAUGGUUAUGGAUCAAGAAGACAAGGA
rnacentral:lncRNA from 1 species